CAGAGUUAUCCAACUCCCAUACCCAUGUGAACUUAUCUCUUUGUUGCCUCGGCGCAAGCUACCCGGGACCCUCGCGCCCCGGGCGGCCCGCCGGCGGACAAACCAAAACUCUUGUUAUCUUAGUUGAUUAUCUGAGUGUCUUAUUUAAUAAGUCA
rnacentral:misc_RNA from 1 species